GAAGCAAUUUACCAUCUUCGUUUCUGUUCGUUCGAUUAAAAAGAAACAGUCGGUUAUUUCCAUAUCAUUGUACCGUACAGUUGUACUUGAAAGAAUCAAAGCACGGGGAACUUGAAAUAUUUCUACGCGCAAUCUUGAAAAACCAGGAUGAUAGACGCUAGAUAGAACGUUUUAAUUGAGAAGAUGAGAAUACGCCGAGAGCGAAGUUCAAAGACCCGAGAAAGCUGCGAGAAUAAUCCGGCGAGAGGUUACCCGACUAUCAGCAGAGUGCGAUCGAAGCGGCGUUGACGAAAAAGUAAAAUAAAGACGAAAGAACUGGGAAAUUAUAUCGCUGACGAUCCCUGAACACCGAUAAGGCGAGAGAAACGGGGGAGGCAGCAACGCGAUCCGCUCCUGAAUUUACGAGGCUCCGCGGGUGCCGAGGGUGCAGGGGCGUACAGACGUGGCGCCGGGCGUCCCGACGCCUAGACUGGCAGGGGCCGCACGCACGUUGACCGUGAAACGCGCGCGACAUCGUGUUAAACUCUGCUCCUCCACAGCUUUGCUUAUCGAUGUUUCCUUCUUUCUAUUUGACUAGUUCUCUGCACUUCUCUGGUUAGUAGCUUACAAGUUGCCAUUUACAAGAGGCGUUACGACGAAUAAUAUUCUAAUGGAUUUGUUUGUUUAUUGUAAAAGUCAUUGGUAAUAGAAGAUAUAGGAACGAUGCGCGAGAAAAAAGUUAAGUGGCAAGAAUUAUUUACUAAUAAGAUAAGAAGAACGAGACGAACAAGAUGAGAGAUCGCUGGAGUUUAAGUAAGCGAGCUACAGAAGAAAGACGAGUGGAAGUACGCGCGCUAUUGGCGUGUAGUAUCAUACGGUUGAAGCAGCUAAAAUAACCAUACAAUGUACGAUGAUGCUCAACUCGCAGUAGUUCCGGAUGACCUGAAUCUAAUGCUUGUCUGAUUUGAGGAAGAAAAGGAAUGGCCAGAUUAGAUAGAUCGGUUAGAUUCGUGGGAGAAAAAUUGACGUUACACGGUGUACUCGAAGGACAUUGGAAAGAUGAAAUAUGCGAAUCGCUGUCGUCGUUCCGCGACAGGAUGGACGUGUCCUCUCGUUGGAAAGCCAGGACCUUCGAGCGCGCAACGCACGUAUCACUCACACAACCGUGUGUCAGUGAAAAUCGCGUCUCGCAAUUUAACUCGAGAUCACGAAGUCUUGGCGUGUACGCCUGUAAAAAUAUUUCGCACUUUCUUUAGAAGCGAUUAGCGCGAAUUAACUUCAAAACUGAGAACACGAGUAAACUCGUCCAUUUAAAUUGACCAAUCCCACGAAUACAAUAAUAUCCUCGCUCGAACAUUUAUUAUAUUUCGUGUUUCUUCGUUUUUCUCAGAGCUAAAUUACAUCGCUAGACUGUGUUUAUGUAGAUAUUUAUGUGUUCAUGGCACGUAUAGAUAUUUCGGAAUAUACAGACAUUAAGAUGACGUACUUGUGACUCUUCGGAUUUCGAUCGUGUCUUGAACAUUAGAACUAACUAGUCAAAUCGACUGGUUUUACGAUUUUAUUUUCAAAUUCCUACUUCGUGUUAUAUUUUUUUCCGCAAUGAUAUAAUGACUUUUGCAACGAUAACUAGAAGAAUAAUAUAAUGCAUUUUAUUUUGUUUUUUAUACAGGGUGGUUGGUAACUGGUGGUACAAGCGGGCAGGGGGUGAUUCUACGCGAAAAAAGAAGUCGAAAAUAUAGAAUAACAAUUUUUCGUUCGAGGCUUUGUUUUCGAGAAAAUCGACUUUGAAUUUUCGCUCGGUACGCCUGCACUUUAUCGCGUCUCGUUACAACGUAUCUCACUGUAGAUCGUUGUCUCGAUGGAAAAAUUUAAAAAAAAAUUUGUAUUCUAUAUUUUCGACUUCUUUUUUCGCGUAGAAUUACCCCCUUUCCGCUUGUACCACCAGUUACCAACCACCCUGUAUAUUUUUUUUUUAUUAUUUAUUAAAAUUACAAUCAAUUCUCGCGUUGAGAAUUUUCAGUAAUUUUUCUGGCGUAGCGUAGAACGGUCAAAACGACUGGUUCUACAAUUUGCUAAAUGUGUCGUUUAGGGAUCGUGGUCCCAGAUGGAUUAAUAAUACCCAGGGCCGGCGUGACCAUUUGGGGAGCCGGGUUCAAAAAUUUUGCGGCUCCUAAAUACACAUUGAAAUCCUACAUUGAAAUUUUACAACGAGAAAUUAUUUAUUUACAUAUGCUGUUACAUAUUAUAUAUUUUUAUAAGCAGUUUUUUAAACAAAUCCAAGUAAUAUUUUUUCGCAUGCAUAAUUCGCUUUGAAGGGGAUAAAAAAUUCAAUGAAAGUAGAAAAUCUGUAAUCAUGUAUGAUUUUUGCAAAAAACUAUUAACGUAGUUUAAUCUCUCUAAAAAGUACAUUUCUCUGAAAACGGCUGGAUUUUUUUUUUUUUUAAUCUAAAGUAGUUUCCAGGAUAUGACGACUUUAUGGUGUUACACUGAACUUUCAUGAUUUUUCUCGCUCGUUUAAACCGAAUCAUCGCUACUAAAAAAAAUGUCUUGCAUCUGUUAAUGGUAUCAUCAUUCUGUAAAAAGUUAAUCAAAAUCGGUGUUUUUUAAUCGGGUAAUUUUCAUAGACCGCGGGGCCUCUCAAAACGCGUCGAACUUGCCUUACGCCGGCCCUGAUAAUACCAAAACUGUACUACGUAACAUGGAAUUCCUUUUGUAAGAAUAAAUAUAAAAAUAUUCUAUUAUUACGUAUUUUCUAAAGACCAGUCAUUUUCAUUGGUUUUGGUAGAAAUAGCUUCGUGUUAACUAUCGUUAGUUUCAGUGUUAAUAGCGUUUUGUUUCGACAAAUUCCGUGAACUGCAAGCUCCACGAAACGUUUAACGAAUAUCGAAAUUAAUAAUAAAUAUCGAGUUGAAAAAAAUCGAGUGUAAUGGUUCGUUUUUUAACCACCCGGUAGAUUACACGGCCGGUUUAACGCAGGAAAGCUACUUAUUCCCCGUCGGGCCGGAGCCUCGCCGGCAAUCAUACGGCAUUAACACUUUAACCUACUCGCUCUCAAAGCUCUUACCAUUUCAGCCGUGGCACUCUCUUUUGAACGGUCAAUAUGGUAGGCGUAUUUGAAUAUUCGUGUGUAUACAAGAGUCUUCAAAAUAAUUAUCGAUCACGAGCAAUAAAAAACGAAACAGAAUAAUAAAGAGUACAUAGUGGUAUUGUAAUAAGAAUAACGAAACGGUUUUGUCUUCAUUUUUAGAAUUAUUAUACUUAUUUAUAAUAAGUAUUAACUUAUUACAAAAUAAUUAGCCAUGUCACUGCGCCACGCCAGAAAAAAUUACUGAAAAUUCUCAAUGCGAGAAUUGAUUGUAAAUAUUAAUAAAAAAAAAAAAUUUUAGAAUUUACAUUCAACUAGAAUCAAACAUACGAUAAUCACUUGUUAUUCACGUUAUAGUACCACGCCAGAAUAAUUUACCUACAAUUUUCAAUGAGAAUUGAUUGUAAACUACUUCCAAAUAAAAAUUUUUUUUUUAGAAUAGCAUUUGGUAGGAAAACAUCGAUUGGAGAAGCGGUAUGUAUAUACGCAGUCGACAACAAACGAUCGAGAGUACGAAGAACAAAGGGUGCUAUGUAAAUUUGCGUAUAAUCAUUGAUAUUAGGUUGUCCGAAAAGUGUCUUUCUUUUACAAACCCGUUUUUUACAACGAUACAUUUUUAUACAAACAUGAAACCUAAUCCAUCGAACUUUGUGAUCUUUAUUUUGAUAGAACGAAAUGGAUCAUACGUAAUUCGAUAAAAUAAUAUAAAACGGAAAAUAUCGUGCGUCCAUUAUCUUCCCUAUAAAACGAAAGAAACUUUUCGGACCACCUAAUUUCGAAUUUCUUCCUCCGUAGAUAUUUCUACGACGUGAAUGAUAGCUAACACGAAGAUUAGAGAGAGAGCAAGAAUUAUCAAAAUCGCGUUUCUAUUUGCUAUUAAAUAUUAACAAACGCGUGUUUUCUCAUUCGCUCAAAGAUUUCCGAAAUAUCGUCCGCCGUGAUACGAAGAUAUUGAGAAUAUUGAAAUAUUGCCUGGCUCGAUAAUUACGCCAUCAAGUUCAUGGGGAAAAAAAAUCAAGAUUAAAUUUUGUUUUUAUGACACCGUAUAUAACUGCGAUUGCCGUGACGGCGAACCGCAAGAGAGCAACGCAGCUACCGUGGAAACUGAAAACCCGGCUUAAUGGACCUUCCUGAAGGGUACUUAACCCUCAUCAACGUUGGUCACCUGGUUAAAAGUUACGCAGAUGUGGCCUUAAUCCGGCUGAAUGCAAGAAAGCGUUGCAUUAACCACUAAAGCGAUCGGUCGUUGAGCGUUCCCCUUAAUGGAUCCUUCCAGGGAACCGUUUAGCGCCGAUUAGCCCAGAUCGUUCGCGUUCUUAUCAUUGUUUUCGGUCGUCACUCGUGUGAACGAACCUUCGAGAGCCUGCCUCUCGGUUCUUAAACUUCGUGCAUUUUUAUGUUUACGUCACCAUUAACAACACAAUAAUUCCUAGCAAGGAUUCAGUGAAAUACCUGGGCAUGACCCUGGACAGGAGGCUAACUUGGAAAAAUCACAUCAUAGACAAAACAAAGCAACUGAAGGACAAACUCAAGAAAUUCUAUUGGCUCACUGGCCGACGCUCCAAUCUAAGCACACAGAACAAAAUUAGCCUCUACAAGAUCGUAAUAAAACCUGUCUGGACCUACGGAAUCCAACUAUGGGGAACAGCAAGUAACUGCAACAUUGAAAUACUUCAACGCUUCCAAUCGAAAACGCUAAGAUCCCUGAUUGAUGUACCUUGGUAUGUAACCAAUGAAACAAUACACCGCGACCUCAAGAUACCCACAGUCAAAGAGGAAAUAGCAAAAUAUAGCGACAGAUAUAGCAAAAGAGUGAACAAACACCGAAACCCCCUAAUCGCUGGACUACUUGAUACGACGGACCAGAUUCGCAGGCUGAAGAGACACUACCCGCUAGACCUAAACGCUAGAUUCAAUUAGUUAUCUAAAUUAAGUAAUACUUACUUAUUUAUAAUACUUAUAUAUAAAUUAUACUUAUCUAUAAUAAGUAUUAACUUAUUAUAAAUAAUCAGCCAUGUCACUGCGCCACGCCAGGAAAAUUACUGAAAAUUCUCAACGCGAGAAUUGAUUGUAAUUUUAAUAAAUAAAUAAAUAAAAAAAAUUGUUUAUGUUUACGGACAAAAUGUAACAGCGCAGGAAGAUCGAGUGAUUCGAGGAAAAGAACGAAUAGGAAUAUUUUUUUUUAUUAUUAUUAUUUAAUUUGUACUUUGGAAUUUGUCCAGCUGGACAUUCGGUAAAUUACGAAUACGAAUGACGAUUAUUUAACCAUUUGUACUCCCAUGUGGAAUGUGAUUUUUAUCUCAGGAGCUCCCUUGUCGAGUCCCACUCGACAUUCUUUCAGUCGCACCUUUUUUUGUAGAACGUGCGAAAGAAAAGCAGGAUUGCAUCCUGGAAAUUGUUUCAAGAUGUAUCGUACGUUUAAAAAUUAGAAAAUUCAACAAUAGUGAGGAUAAAAUUGGUAUUUAAGUGAAUUUCUUUCUUCCUUUAUUUAUUUAGAUUGUCUUACUUUUUGGUUAAAGUAAAUUUCAAAUAAAACAUUUAAAAGUGUUGGGAGCUAACGAAAUUGAAAUAAAAUUCAGAGUGCGAAGGGUUAAGCGUUCGGAGAAAGGAAGAAGUUGGAAAGGAGAGCCGAUUAACAGAAGUCACGAAAUCGAGGACUGUUUUGUAAUCGCCGAGUUUUGCAGAAUUAAUUGGCAAUAAUAAGCUAAAUUUCGUAGGUGAAACGAAGAUAUUAAAUGUUAAAUAUCAAACGUUGAACAUUAAGUAUUAAAUGUUAAAUACUAGUCGCUCAUUAUCACAAACAUUCGAUCGAUAAAAAUCUACCACGUGUAUAUCGCGAAGCAAGAUAUUCGUACGCGUGAAAUUUCGAAAUUUCCAAAUAUUUUCGUGGAAAUAAAUAAAAAUGGUAAGUUUGUUCGAUCGAUAAAUGGAUAACGAUUACAUGGAAGUUACGAUCGUAUAGCAAAAUUCGUAGCCUUUCGCCAAGUCUACCUAAUCGUUACAACGUCGUUACGCUGUAGCUGUAGCAUCUCGUUUAAAAGGAUUUAUGGGCGAACAGGUAAAUGAUACUUAUUUCCUAACUAAUGACGAAACGAAUCUUUCGAAGCUGUUGAGUAAAGAUACAGGCGGACGGUAGAAUUAUGGAGCACGUUAAUUCCACGUAUUUAUCAUUUUCAUACCUACUAUUGUAUUUAUUAUUAAUUAUUACACUAUGCAGUCUGUUUAUAGCAAAUAUUAAUAAUUUCCCGGUCAGCGUAUAAAAUUGAUCGAUUCCAAUCUACUUUCGCACACGUGCGCAAGAAAGAUUUUCUAACUACAAAAAAACGGACACGCAACUCUCAAACAUUUUCGUCAAACUACCGUGUAAUUUUCUCUUAACGUAUCUAGUAAUACCCAAGACGUAAUAAAAGAAAAUCAAUAUUUUUUCGAAAGACUGCCAUAAUGUUUAACAAACAGAUAGUUUUGGUAAUAUGUGAUUCGUUGAUAACGUUUUGCAUUUCGAAAUUACCGCUAAAUGAAAAACAACAAAACGUGUCUUAUCGCGUCUCUGCCCUGUGGUCUUCGAUCGAUUUCAUCGUACAAUUUCAUCGUCGAUCGAACACAGCGCAAAUUGCGAAUCGCGCGCUGCACUCUGAAAAACGUUCGUCAGAAAUGGCACGUCAACGAAGUGGCGCUCUUAAUUAACGAAAGGAUCGUGCAUCCACGUGCACUCAAGCUCACUAACACGAGUUCAAACACGUUCUACGUACGUAUGUACGUGCGUAUGCCAGUGCAAUUAACAUAGUGCGGGGGCAGACUCCCCUGACAAAGGAUAAUCGCUUUCACCCUAUUCUCCCGUGGCGGCCUUACAACUUCUGAAUGUUAUUAAACGUAAUUUAAUAUCUGGCCGUGCCCAACGUGGAUCCCUCGCUGGAAUUUACAACCGAGGACAGGACGAUGUCCUAUUAAAUUGUGCGGCCUGUGGCAGUUAGCCGUGUGCCGUUUCGACAGCAGGCGAUUCCUAUGGCCUCGUCGCGCCACGUGGGCGGCAUCCGUUUCACUUUCUUCGAAGCAGGAAGAGCUUACAGAGCGUUGCGUAACUUCAAUCAACUUUUGUAUACGGUGUAUUCGUGAUUUUACGAAUAUACGCUUCUAUAUUUUUUUUUCCUUUUCCCUGUUACUUGGUUUUAUUGCGUAAGCGUUAUUCAUACAGGAUGAUUACGAGUGCUGACAGAUACCAUCGAGCCAAGUUACGCGGAAACCUAUCAACCCUGGACACGUGAAAGGAUUAGUCAGCGCAGUACGGAUUCCAUGAUUUUGUGAUCUUCGUUUGGCGAGAAAUGGAACAAUCCGUGGAACGAUGUUCACGUUAUGCGUUUGUCGAAACUACCACAGCAUAGUUUCAAUUUAGGCUUGUAAUUAUUUUGCAGGAAACUUCCGAACCACGUAUUAAUUAUGCUACUCACUGUGGCGUAAAGAUAAUGUAUAUAUUACAGUCCAUGGAUCCAAGUCCAAUUUCUAGGCUAAUAGGCUGAAACGGGUUGCUACUACUGCUCGUUAUUAAAUAAGCCAUUAAAAAGAACAUCGUAAAACAACAGGUUUGUUAGUUUCUUUUAAAAAAUCGCUCGUUCAAAAUUCGUAAGAUCGCUUUGCCAACAUACGCAAAAAGAAGAAUCUCUUUGAAAUGAGUUGAAACGAGCGAGUAAAAGGAGGCUGGCAACUUUCACGUGGUGUGACCUGGACAUUCAUUAAUCGAUAUACAAUUACCAAUUAUAUCCAAUUAAUAGCAAUUAAUUCAUCAAAUUGUUACCAACGUUCUCGUUGAUCUCUCAAAUUAUAAAUUGAGAUUUUUCGCUGGCGCGUGACAAAGUAAUUCUCCAACCGAAUAAUUCGAUUCUUCGAAGUAACUUCCAUUACGUUAGACAAUCUUCUUCUGUGAUAUCUCUGUACUUGAAAAAUAUAAAAAAUAAAAGAAUCAUUGAUGAAGUCAGUAUCGUAAUGUCAAGUAUGCGGGCGCUCCUUAUGCCGUAACAUUUCAGACGACGUAGCAAUUCGUAAAGGUUCCUACAAUUUCCUAACGAUUAUAGGGGUCUACCUGAUCUUCUGUAAACUGCUUCGAAGUUGAUCUUCCGUUUACACGAGCCUAAUACCUUGCAUCUUUCUUAACGAGAAAAACCACAAUCUCGAUAUAUCUUUGGCAGAAGGGCGGCGCCUGCUCUUCUUAGGCUCGCGAUAAAUAUCGUUGACCGGUUAGGGUAAAUAAUUGAUCGGGAUAAGGACGAGCAAUUAACGAGGCUAUCGGUGGAUUCGUGGAAAGAAAUGGAGGACAAUCACGCAACGGGCAACCGUGAGAUUUCUUAGUCACGAUAAAUCUCCCGUUUUCUCCCCUCUAUACCAUUCUUCUGCUCUCUUCUGGCAUCAGUUUCUCUUUCACGAGUACCGUUAGGGGCAUGUAAGUGCGGCUAAGUUUAUUAGAGCAAUUUCCAACACCGACGACAACAAUGGUCUCAACGACGAACGAUAAGGGGAGAGAAAUGCAUCGAGAAAGUUGCCUACUAUCCAAGAGGGUUUCCAUGACGACCGAUUAUCCGAGAGACCAUAAUUGCCGCGGUCCCUCGUUGCGGCUCUGGUAAUUAUUGCCUUUCGUUUUCACUUUGUAAUCGCGGCGUUCUUCUUUAAAACUUUGGAAUUCUUCCCGGUUCUUUUAUAUCGCCGCGAAAGUUUGAUUGGAUGGGUUAUUAACCUUGGUAUUCCCCUUGGGCAAUUUUUAAUACCGUCCUGUUGGUCCAACUUUUUCCUAGAACUUUGUUCUAGAGCGCACCGAUUUUACGACGCAGUUUUAUAAUAUUUCCCAUACGCGCGUAUUUUAUAAUAUCUUACGGCAUAACUUUCAGUUUCGUAACGAUCCGACGAGCCUUGAAAUUAGUAUUUGUGGAAUUAGUACUGGUGAAAAAUGAUCGUAAAAGUAGCACAACUCGAAUAAGUUUCUCGAUGUUUGCGAGCUUCUAAGCAAAUCACGUAGACGCGUAACGUUGACGAGAGCAAUAGAAUCUACGAAACAAUGGUUGCUGCGUGUCCCUUACUUUUCUCUUAUCUUUACCGUUUACCGAGUAAAAGCAGGUAACAGCGCGGUAUCCUUUGUUACUGGCAACGGAGACGAGAGGAAACAGGGAGAAAAAUUGGAGGAACGAGACUUUCUAUCGAGUCAACAGCUUAUCGUCUCUCCUGUUUCGUAUCAUUCGUACGCGCGAAAAACUCCGUUUACUCGGACGUAUUCCUUUAUCACGAUUUUUUGGUAAUUUUAACAAGGAACUCGUUGAAUACGUUUCUUUCUUCCGUCGAGAUUAAGCACUCGAUAUAAUUGAGUUUCAAGGUUGCGACGCUCUUCUCACGCUUGUUCAAGCAACGUGCAACAUCAACGAAACUCGUAGUUGCUUCUCAGCGGGCACCUAAUUUAACGCUUAACCCGAAGAAUAAGUGCGUAAACUGUCGCGAUAAAUCCUGCAAACAAUCGAACAACCUCGAAAACGCGCUCUUCAACGUUCAAACAUCCUGAACGUUGCCUAGUUCCCUGGAAGCACAACGAGCAACGUUUCAACAAAGAGUACAUAGGCGUAAGCCUGGCACCUCGUAAUUGGCGCUCAGUCGUACGAUCUACGAUCGCGAUGUUCGCACGCGAUAACGAUAAAUCUCGAGGAAAUAAGGUAGAAUUGGAGGCAGGGUUAACCGAGAGAGAGAGAGAGAGAGAGAGAGAGAGAGAGAGAGAGAAAGAAUGUCAUGGCACGCAUGAGUCUUAUGAAUUCUUUCACGAAACGAACAGGCCUGUCGCGCGCAGCCCGCAGGAGCGUAACAACGGUCUGCUCUUUCGUAAAUUAUUUUCUGUAGCUCUGUGGAUGUAGCGAAAAGAGAGAAAGAGACGGAGGUGGAGGACAGUUAAAAAGAAGGCGAAAAUCGGAGUACAAACAGAAUCGGAUGAGAGGUGGACUAAGGGAAUCGAGGGGCAAGGGUUUCCACGAGUGUUUAGCCUUGACAUUCGCCUCCCACAUCCUGUCAGCCGAACAGUGGUUCUCAUAUCAACUCGAUAAUCGCGCCCAAUUGCUUCUCCUGCGAGCAAAUUUUGUCGACGUUGGAAUUUUCUAGCGAAUUGCAAGAAUUAUCGUCUCGUGCUAUUGUUAUAUCGUUCUUCGAAAUGUCCCUGUCGUGUUCGAUGGCUUGGCAUGGCUUCCCUUUUCCAAUUCCUGUGUCGUUUUAUGGCAUGGAAUAAAGAGCACGUUAUUUUUUAUGGAAUCGAUUGUUCGAGAUAUGUAUUUUGGUAGAAGUGGUGUUUCCCUGGGUGGAGAGAACGUAGGUACGAAAUAAUUCAACCACGAAACUCCGUCGUCGCAUUGUAAAUUGUUAUGGCGAUGCUGUUUGGUUAGUUUACGAAGAAUCUGAACGUUUUGUUUGUUUUAAACGUGUAAAUGUACGUAAAUGAGAACUGAUGGCAAUAAAAUAGAAUAAAAAGCAGUUUUUCUGCUUGCAUCUAGUCGGCUCAUCUUCCUCGACAAUUUCUUCAUUUGCAUAUUUUUUCUUCUGCGUUUCAGCGUUUCACCUUGACUUCCACCGGACGUUUUCCUCUUUAAAACGCCAGCAAACAUUUAUUCUCGGACGGCAGUUCUUUUCUUUCCAAAAAUGUUAAUAGAAGGAAGAGGAAUUUGCAUUACAACGAUAACAUUUUAAGAGAACGUCCUGUUUAUGAAAUAGUAAACCGCGGAGGCAAGAAAAGAUCUUGGCUGGAACAAAGUUCAGUCUCGGACUUAGUAUCGAGUCUGAAAACAUUCGCGCGCAAACUAUCGGAUAACCUCAAACAUUUCGUUUUGAAAUAUCAACCCUGUCGAUUGGUAUCGUCGAUAGUCAACGUUAUUGCACUUCAUUUCCAAUUACUAUUUACAUAUAAUAUUAUUAUUAGAAAAUAUGAUACACGAUAUGUAACACGGAUUAAGACCAACAAAUCUUAGCUAGAAAUAACAUUUCCAAAACGAAUCAUUCGAUUCUCCGGUUCGUUGUCUCCACGUUUUUUCGAUCCUCUCGAUCUCUAUUUCGAAAAUACUGAAAAUUUGAUUGCCUUUGCAGGAUAAAUUCCACGUUUCUAAAACGCUGAAAACUCGCUCUUUCUCCUUACGUAAGCCGUUAAAACGUUAAAACCAAACCUUUCUCCUUACAUAAACCGUUAAACGUAAAAAUAAAGAAUCCUAACGCGAUAAAAACAACCUUACGAAUAUACGAGGCAAACAACCGGCAAGUAGCAAGAAAAACAAAAAAAAAAAAAAAAAAGAAAAAAAGAAGCUGGUUGAAUAAUUACGAGGAUAGAAACGAGCAAGAUCCUCUCGAGGAACGACAAAUAAAAAAUCUCGAUUUAGAAAACAUCCGGCAACGAGAGCGAAUUAAGAACGAAUCGCGCAACGAAACACGAUCGCGAUUUCGUGGAAGAACGGUACUUUUCAGCUUGAACGUGGCCGGUCCUUAAAAGAAAACGUGCCAAGGACAGCAGCGAUCAACGACGAUUCUCUCUCUCUCUCUCUCUCUCUCUCUCUCUCUCUCUCCUUCUCUUCUCGUCUCUCGGUGGUCGAGAUCGGUCGUUUAUUAAUUUACAUGCGGACUCGGCCGAAGGCGCCAGCCGGAUGGAGAACCGGAGGAGGAUCGACGACGAUGACGCGUUUAGUCGUUGCACUACCACGCUUCUGCUCUUCCGAGUUGCUCGCCUAUAAACGUAGCAACCAGGACGGUUUGUGGAACGACAUCGAACCGGUGUUCGGUUCGAGAUCGGGAACACCGUAACUGGAUACCGUUCAAAUAUUAUCGAAAACAUGGGAUCUCCGUUGGAACGUUGUUUAUCCAUUCGACAAGUACGUGAGUCACGUAUCUAUGCGACAAUCCGAAUGGCCUGGCAUACCAGCAGCUUAAAGCGGCGCAAAGUGGAACAGACAGGUGGAAAAACAUAGUUGGCCACGGUGAUGAGGAAAAGGGGCAGAGGGUGAAACUCGAGCACGAGCAGCACGACCCAGAAAAUGAGCGCAACAGGUGGUGGCAGGUAUGCGGCUGCCGGGGGAUGGCAAGUCGGUGACUCAUGGGGUUACACCGGGAACGUUGAUCGUUUCUUCUGGAUUCCUGCCCUCUUGAACCGCUCUUUCAGCUUUCUGCCCCGCCACGUCUUUACCUGCUGACUCACAAUCCGCUCGCACAACUCCUCCUACAUGCUUACACCUGAGGAAACACGGGACGAUUCUUUGUCCGGGACAGUCUGCUCAAUGGACACUGAUGAUCUCUUUGGAGUUUCGGUUUAUUCCUUCGACGUUUCGUAGCUGUAUUUUCUCCUUGGCAACAUAGCUCGAGGUUAUAAUUAUCUUUGGAUAUCGGGAAAUUACCCGCGACGCGAUAUAUCUUUGUUAUUCUGACGAAUUGGUCGAAGGGAAUUUAAACGUAGUGCCACGUAUUUAGGGGAAUUAGUUGUCGAAAUGAAGUUUAACGUUUCGGUCGAGCAUCGAGUUGCGCGAGAAAAGAUGUUAAUUAUUUUGGAAAAAUAUUUUGAAGUUUCAAAGUCUAUUGCGUGCAUCUCGUAGACUUUAAAGGCGGAUUUCUAGAUAACUGUAAUGUUUUUUGAAGAAUCACAAGAAUACUUGGGGACGUCAUUCUAAAGGUCGCUGGUUAUCGCCAAGAAGAGAAAGAAAAAAUAGAAUUCUUUUUAUCAAUCAAUAGCAAUUGUUCCCGGACCAAUGGUAUACCGAUCGAUCAUUAGUCCGCUACAAAAAAAGUAUCGUCUUCACGUGUACAAACAUCGCAAUCUUAUCUCUAAGUGAACGGUUCAGUGAUACUGUAAUUACAAUAACUGCAAUUAUCUGUUGGAUCUACGGUUCGAAUAACACGUUCGAUAAAAAUACACGAUACGCGGGAAUUCUGUUUUUCUCGAUCAUUUUCGGAAACAGAAAUAUCGGCGAAUUUCGAUUUCGGUGAAAAUAUUGUACGCGACGCGUACACGAAAAAGUUUUAUCGAUAGAGUUCGUAUUCGAUCGAUAUUAAUAAAAAUUUCAGACUCAGCCACCUGUUUUAUCGACCGAUGUGUUUAAUAUCUAGUAAUCGCACUGUGAAAUUAAAAUUGGAACACGAAACAACGAGGGCUUAUGCUGAUAAUUAAGUAACAGAAGCGUUAAAUGCCAUUACCACUGGCCUAAUAGCAUCGACCGGGAGGAAUGUUGGUCCUAUCGGUUUCUUAUGCUCUUCGUAUCAAUAACUUGGCCUGUACUGUUACACCAUUAAAUAACGAUAGCCCGUAAGGUUGAUAGUCGUAUCAGACGCGUCACUGGCGUACGGAGACAGACGAGAAUUAUCGUUCUCUCCGGAUAACAUUUCGCGAAACGAUCAAACAGGAAAUUCUGGAUCGAACGUUGUAAACUAAAGUUUAACUAUAUUUCGGUCGAUAAUAGAUUCGCUAUUAAACGUACGAUAAAUCAAACUCGGAUUUCAAUAGGAUUGUGGAUCGCCACGAACUAGGUCUACGCAAAGUUAGGGAUACUUAUGUUUACAAUGAAAGCAAACUAACCUCCGAAUAUGUAGAGUGUAGCCUGUACCUGGACGAAAUCAAGGCUAGACUUGGAUUAUGCUGGUUGAGGUCAGGGCUAAGCAUACUUAAACUAGGUCUUUCGUUGAAUCUUUCAAUAACGAAGCGCAACAGAAUCGAUUGUUUUCUCAAAAAACACUACCAUCCGUCUUAAUUUAAAUCUAACAAUUUCGUAAUCCAUAAAUCUUGCAAACGAUAAACCAUCUAUUUUUGAAAAUCUAGUUGGGUAACCAUAAAAUUACGAAAUUGAUUCUUCUUUUUUUUUUUUAUACCAUCCAAGACCAGGCACGGUGAAACGAGAGAAACGGUCGAUUUAAUUCGUUUCUCAGAAAAGAAAAUAAUAAAAAAAAGAAGAAAAAAAUAAAACAACAAAGCAACGGACGAAGCAAAACUAUUUAUUUUUACUCGUCGCUGAAUCCUCCAGUUUCUUGUUGUCACUCCGCUCCCACCUCCCUCGUAAACUUUUUCCUUUUCCCUUCUGCUGUUCCGCUUUUUCGUUUUCUCGCUGUUUGCUCCUUUUGUUCAGGCUCUUUUUCUCCGGCCAUAGCGAAAAGAAACGGAUCUGCGGAGCGUGGCGUUUGGUGGGCGGAUCGAUGACCUUGAAUCUGGCUGGAGGCACCAUGAGUCACACUGCGGAUUUCGUGUUUCCAGGAAAAUUUUCCUGCUAACGCGACAAUCGAUGCGAGGAGAGAGGAAGAGCGAGAGAAAGAGAUGAGCUUCCUCCGUGGGCGAGUGAAGCGACGAUUUUUUAUACAGGCGACUGAAACACGUGGAUCAGAGGAUUCGAACGAAGAGAUACUUCGGACCAUCGAUGAACUUUCCAACGUUUGCCAACGUUUCGUUCUUUUUCUCAUCUCACGAAUUGUCGCAUCGUGAAGCAAUAAAACAACAAUUUUUCGACAGAGAAGUUGGACGAAUCGCGAUGGCACGUAUGGUAUAUAACUGUAAAGAAUUUCACGAAUUUCACGUUGUGCCAUGUUCGUACACGUUCUCUGGUUACGUCGAUAAGUUAGAAAAAUGAAACAUUUCUGUAAAGCAGAGGAGUGCGUUGCAUCAAACGUCUCAGCCUGAUAUUCUUCCGUAUCAGCGUACUAUAUACCACGUCGUAUUCCUUAUUUUUAAUAUUCCCAUACUUCUUACUUUCCUUUU